rnacentral:rRNA from 1 species
GCGCAACCCCUGCAUCCAGUUGCCAUCGGGCGAGCCGGGCACGUCUGGAGGGACUGCCGGCGACAAGCCGGAGGAAGGUGGGGAUGACGUCAAGUCAUCAUGGCCCUUAUGUCCAGGGCGACACACGUGCUACAAUGGCCGGCACAGCGGGAAGCGGAGGGGCGACCCUGAGCGGAUCCCUUGAAAGCCGGUCCCAGUUCGGAUUGCAGUCUGCAACUCGACUGCAUGAAGUUGGAAUCGCUAGUAAUCGCGGAUCAGCCAAGCCGCGGUGAAUACGUUCCCGGGCCUU